UCUUUCAGGCAAUUUGAGCUCUCCAGGGUUUUCUGAUCUUCCUGACUACAUUGAGGAUAAUAUGAACUCCUGCACCCUAUAGAAUAGAGGAAAAUGCUUCUAUACCCCAUCUUCAAAUACAGAAUGUAAGCUCCAAGAGCACUCAUUCACAGCCAUCCCUGACCUGCUACAUAGUGGACACAAUAACUCUUUCUGAAAGGCUGAUGAAGAAAACACAAAGUUAAACACAGCAUCCACUCCUGGAGUAGUCAUCGUCCCUGGUUCUGCAUAGAUGACCAAAGAGAAAUCAGAGGAUAUUGAGAAGGGGAAAGAGACCUGGCUGGUGCAGAAACAAGCCACUGACAAAUACAGGGGAGAGAAACCACUGA